UCGGAAACACACAUGUCGUUUCCUUUAGCACCCAUCUGUCAAAGCAUCUAAAGACGUGGCGACACGUGUGACGACACGGCCUUUAAGCCCUUGCUUGUAAAACAAGUCCUCAUCUUCUUCUCUCAGUCGUUUCGUCAGUGGUAUCACUUUCGUUCAUCGUUUCGCCGAAGCACAACAAGAGAUUGAAUGAACAUGGAGGGAGCAAAGAGAACUCCACUGAGCGCGAGAAAGAAACACAAGAGGAAAAGCAAGAGACUUGUCAGGAGUAUCGUCACCUACCUCAAGUCCGAUGCAUACUUGUACGCUCCUCUGUUUUCCGAUUUGUCACCGCUCCCGCCGCAGAUACAUACGCCUCCACCGUCUAACUCCGAAUCUUCUAAGGCGGAAGACUUGCAUGUUGCAGGUAAACCGCAAAUAACGAACUUGGUUGCGGUGGAAGUAUCAACCAUGAGGGAAGAUAAAAGGAAUCUCAGGUCAGACACUGCAGAGCAUACAUUGAAUAACGGAAGGAUCAGCUCUUCGAAACGAUCACUUGUCAUCUUAGACGGACAACAAACUGGAGUAAGCCGUUGAAUCAGAUCUUUCACUACCCUUUUUUCUCUCUUCCAAGUAUGUUGUUCGAUUCCCCCAAUAA